rnacentral:rRNA from 1 species
UACGUAGGUGACCAGCGUUGUCCGGAUUUACUGGGCGUAAAGAGCGCGCAGGCGGUCGUUCAAGUCGAGUGUGAAAGCCCCCGGCUCAACUGGGGAGGGUCACUUGAUACUGAUCGACUCGAAGGCAGGAGAGGGAAGCGGAAUUCCCGGUGUAGUGGUGAAAUGCGUAGAUAUCGGGAGGAACACCAGUGGCGAAGGCGGCUUCCUGGCCUGUUCUUGACGCUGAGGCGCGAAAGCCAGGGGAGCAAACGGG